rnacentral:rRNA from 1 species
GUGCCAGCAGCCGCGGUAAGACGGAGGGGGCAAGCGUUGUCCGGAAUCACUGGGCGUAAAGCGCACGUAGGUGGCCUGCUGCGUCGGCGCUGAAAGCGCCCCGCUUAACGGGGCGAGGCGUGCCGAUACGAGCAAGCUUGAGGCAGGGAGAGGGUGGCGGAAUUCCGGGUGUAGUGGUGAAAUGCGUAGAGAUCCGGAGGAACGCCUGUGGCGCAAGCGGCCACCUGGCCCUGACCUGACACUGAGGUGCGAAAGCGUGGGGAGCGAACCGGAUUAGAAACCCGCGUAGUCC